GACGAACGCUGGCGGCGUGCUUAACACAUGCAAGUCGAACGGAAAGGCCUGUCCUUCCUUGUGUUGGACGGGUACUCGAGUGGCGAACGGGUGAGUAACACGUGAGUGAUCUGCCCCCAACUUGGGUAUAAGCCUGGGAAACUGGGUCUAAUUCCCGAUAGGACUGCAGGGUGGUGCCUGAGGUGGAAAACGAUUUUCUAGUGGUUGGGGAUGAGCUCGCGGCCUAUCAGCUUGUUGGUGGGGUAAUGGCCUACCAAGGCGGCGACGGGUAGCCGGCCUGAGAGGGUGGACGGCCACAUUGGGACUGAGAUACGGCCCAGACUCCUACGGGAGGCAGCAGUGGGGAAUAUUGCACAAUGGGCGGAAGCCUGAUGCAGCGACGCCGCGUGGGGGAUGACGGCCUUCGGGUUGUAAACUCCUUUCGACCGCGAGGAAGCCGCCUGGUUGGAAGGGUGGUGACGGUAGUGGUAGAAGAAGCACCGGCUAACUACGUG
rnacentral:rRNA from 1 species